rnacentral:rRNA from 1 species
UUCCGGUUGAUCCCGCCAGAGGCUACUGCUAUCGGGGUCCGACUAAGCCAUGCGAGUUGAGAGGGGUAAGCCCUCGGCAUAUUGCUCAGUAACACGCGGAUAACCUGCCCUUGGGUUUGGGAUAACCCCGGGAAACUGGGACUAAUACCGGAUAGAUCAAAGAAACUGGAAUGUUCUCUGAUCGAAAGCUCCGGCGCCCAAGGAUGGGUCUGCGGCCUAUCAGGUAGUAGUGGGUGUAACGUACCUACUAGCCUACGACGGGUAAGGGUUGUGAGAGCAAGAGCCCUGAGAUGGAUUCUGAGACAUGAAUCCAGGCCCUACGGGGUGCAGCAGGCGCGAAAACUUUACACUGCGGGAAACCGCGAUAAGGGGACCCCGAGUGCCAGCACCUAGUGCUGGCUGUCCAGCUGUUCAAAUAACAGUUGUUAGCAAGGGCCGGGCAAGACCGGUGCCAGCCGCCGCGGUAACACCGGCGGCCCGAGUGGUAGCCGUUAUUAUUGGGUUUAAAGGGUCCGUAGCCGGCCUAUUAAGUCUCUUGGGAAAUCUGGCGACUCAAUCGUCAGGCGUUCAAGAGAUACUGGUAGGCUUGGGACCGGGAGAGGUGGGAGGUACUCCAGGGGUAGGGGUGAAAUCUCGUAAUCCUUGGGGGACCACCGAUGGCGAAGGCAUCCCACCAGAACGGGUCCGACGGUGAGGGACGAAAGCUGGGGGCACGAACCGGAUUAGAUACCCGGGUAGUCCCAGCCGUAAACGAUGCUCGCUAGGUGUCAGGUGCGGUGCGACCGCAUCUGGUGCCGCAGUGAAAACUUGAAGCGAGUCACCUGGGAAGUACGGUCGCAAGGCUGAAACUUAAAGGAAUUGGCGGGGGAGCACUACAACGGGUGGAGCCUGCGGUUCAAUUGGAUUCAACGCCGGG